GAACUCUUCCAGAUACUACACUGAGGGUUUGCAGUUACACCAAUGGGAGUACAAACAAUUGAGUGUGUUCCUUUUGGUCGGCAGCAGAAUGAAGACAAAUUCUAUCUAUAAUUCAGAACUACAUGUCACAUGAAAUAAAAUCAUCAUAAAACAAGUUACAGGAUUUGUGAACCAGAAGCUCUGAUUGUUCAAGAAAUGAAAUAAUAAAGAACGUAAUUCGUUAAGGACAGGAAAUAGAAGUUCCCAAGCAGAAACAAGAAAAUCCUGAAGUAAUUUCCUCAUUAGAGUUGAUUAGAAAAUUGAACACGAAUUCAAGCAUAAUUAUGGGUGAGCCAGCAGCAGCUAUGAGACACGGCAUCCGUAGCACCCUCGCAAGUCAUGGAGGAACUUUGCUUAAGAACUCUGGCCAGGCGAAUCCCACCUUCAGCAUCCUCAUUAUAGUACUCAGUGUGCUUAAUUAAAGAACAUAGAUUUCUGACUGAGCUCAGGAGGAAGAUCGGGAGCCUAGGACCAAGGGACAGCACCUGCCUCUCUGCUCGGCUGUGAAUCCUGCUGCUGCUCCACUGCUCGGGUAGCUGUGCUGUGUGGGUGCCUCUCUGGGGGCUUUGCUGUUCCAUGGAGCUUUCCAGGGAGUCAGCUUCCUCCACUCCCAAGAAGUCUCAUUAUCUCAGAAGAAGAAGCCAGUGAGCAGCUGGUACACCUACUUGCCACUAGGAAGCUCAGCUUUCCCGACUGGCUGCCCCCUGAAGGCAUUUGGUAUGAUAAGAAGGAACCUUAAGGCAAUACUGUGAAUUUUGCGACUCUUGCUGGUUUCAAGAUGUAGGAGAACGAAGUCACUUCCUUCAGUCACCAAAGGCAUUCUGCCUGCAGAGGACACAGCUCUUGGUUCACACUUCCUGCCUUUCAUGGAUAGUGCUACAAGUAAGAAAUAUUUGACAUAUAAAGGAGACAUCACACAAACCCCUGCAGCCACCACACCUU